GGGGAAUAUUGCACAAUGGGCGAAAGCCUGAUGCAGCAACGCCGCGUGAGUGAUGAAGGCCUUCGGGUUGUAAAGCUCUGUCUUUGGGGACGAUAAUGACGGUACCCAAGGAGGAAGCCACGGCUAACUACGUGCCAGCAGCCGCGGUAAUACGUAGGUGGCGAGCGUUAUCCGGAAUUAUUGGGCGUAAAGAAUGCGUAGGUGGACUCUUAAGUCAGAUGUGAAAUCCCCGAGCUUAACUCGGGAGCUGCAUUUGAAACUGGGAGCCUGGAGUGCAGGAGAGGUAAGUGGAAUUCCUAGUGUAGCGGUGAAAUGCGUAGAUAUUAGGAAGAACAUCGGUGGCGAAGGCGACUUACUGGACUGUUACUGACACUGAGGCAUGAAAGCGUGGGGAGCAAAC
rnacentral:rRNA from 1 species